AUUGAACGCUGGCGGCAGGCCUAACACAUGCAAGUCGAACGAGUGGCGGACGGGUGAGUAAUGGAUGGGAAACUGCCUGAUAGAGGGGGAUAACUACUGGAAACUGUAGCUAAUACCGCAUACCAUCAGAUGUGCCCCAAUGGGUUGAGCUAGUUGGUAGGGUAACGGCUCACCAAGGCGACGAUCCCUAGCUGGUCUGAGCGGAUGACCAGCCACACUGGAACUGAGACACGGUCCAGACUCCUACGGUAGGCAGCAGUGGGGAAUAUUGCACAAUGGGCGCAAGCCUGAUGCAGCCAUGCCGCGUGUAUGAAGAAGGCCUUCGGGUUGUAAAGUACUUUCAGCGGGGAGGCGUUACCCGCAGAAGAAGCACCGGCUAACUCCGUGCCAGCAGCCGCGGUAAUUC
rnacentral:rRNA from 1 species